UACGAAGGGGGCUAGCGUUGCUCGGAAUCACUGGGCGUAAAGCGCACGUAGGCGGACUCUUAAGUCGGUGGUGAAAUCCUGGAGCUCAACUCCAGAACUGCCUUCGAUACUGGGAGUCUCGAGUUCGGGAGAGGUGAGUGGAACUGCGAGUGUAGAGGUGAAAUUCGUAGAUAUUAGGAAGAACACCAGUGGCGAAGGCGGCUCACUGGUCCGGUACUGACGCUGAGGAACGAAAGCCAGGGGAGCGAACGGG
rnacentral:rRNA from 1 species